UGCCCAGCAACUCCUAUCCCUGCCUCCUCGCGGUACAUACCGGCCGGAAACUAUGAGCAACCUUAGGGAAAAUCGGGUAACCAACCCCGGUGGGAACUUUGGUCGUAGGCUGACAGGGAAGG
rnacentral:ribozyme from 1 species